GAUCGAUCUCAUGUAUUUAAAGGUUCACUGUAAAGGUUAACUUCAGAUCUCGUGUUUGAAUUUCGGAUUUCAUCUUCUUACAGUUACAAUCAAAAGGGGGACAUCAAGCACCAUCUUUGAUUAAAUGUACUGGGGAGAGAGAUGUCAAGUGUACAAGAACAAGAGUUACCAGAACCAGACCAUUACAACGAUGUUAUGAGUGGUGACGGUCAAGAUGAUGAUGAUGAUGUUGAGAUGCUAGAUUCUGUGAAUGAGGAUCCAACUGUUGGUUGUGCACCUGCACAAGUUGCACGUGGAAAGAAAAAUAGACUUAGAUCCGAAGUUUGGGAAUUUUUUAAACUCGUUAAGUAUAAGGAUGGUACAACGAAGGGGGUGUGCAAGGCUUGUAAUGUAGGAUAUAAAUAUGAAAGCCAAAGAGGU